CAAGGCGACGAUCCAUAGCCGGCCUGAGAGGGUGAACGGCCACAUUGGGACUGAGGCACGGCCCAGACUCCUACGGGAGGCAGCAGUGGGGAAUAUUGCACAAUGGGGGAAACCCUGAUGCAGCGACGCCGCGUGAAGGAAGAAGUAUCUCGGUAUGUAAACUUCUAUCAGCAGGGAAGAAAAUGACGGUACCUGACUAAGAAGCCCCGGCUAACUACGUGCCAGCAGCCGCGGUAAUACGUAGGGGGCAAGCGUUAUCCGGAUUUACUGGGUGUAAAGGGAGCGUAGACGGAUGGACAAGUCUGAUGUGAAAGGCUGGGGCUCAACCCCGGGACUGCAUUGGAAACUGCCCGUCUUGAGUGCCGGAGAGGUAAGCGGAAUUCCUAGUGUAGCGGUGAAAUGCGUAGAUAUUAGGAGGAACACCAGUGGCGAAGGCGGCUUACUGGACGGUAACUGACGUUGAGGCUCGAAAGCGUGGGGAGCAAACAGGAUUAGAUACCCUGGUAGUCCACGCGGU
rnacentral:rRNA from 1 species